GAAUUUUGGGCAAUGGGCGAAAGCCUGACCCAGCAACGCCGCGUGAGGGAUGAAGUAUUUCGGUAUGUAAACCUCGAAAGAAUAGGAAGAAUAAAUGACGGUACUAUUUAUAAGCUCCGGCUAACUACGUGCCCGCAGCCGCGGUAAUACGUAGGGCGCAAGCGUUGUUCGGAUUUACUGGGCGUAAAGGGCGCGUAGGCGGCGUGUUAAGUCAGCUGUGAAAUCUCCAAGCUCAACUUGGAACGGCCAGCUGAUACUGAUGUGCUAGAGUGCAGAAGGGGCAAUCGGAAUUCUUGGUGUAGCGGUGAAAUGCGUAGAUAUCAAGAGGAACACCUGAGGUGAAGACGGGUUGCUGGGCUGACACUGACGCUGAGGCGCGAAAGCCAGGGGAGCAAACGGG
rnacentral:rRNA from 1 species